GAUGAAGAACGUAGCGAAAUGCGAUAAGUAAUGCGAAUUGCAGAAUUCAGUGAAUCAUCGAAUCUUUGAACGCACAUUGCGCCCUCUGGUAUUCCGGGGGGCAUGCCUGUUCGAGCGUCAUUACAACCCUCAAGCUUUGCUUGGUAUUGGACAUUGCCAGUUUCUGGCAGGUCUUAAAAUCAGUGGCGGUGCCAUUUGGCUUCAAGCGUAGUAAUUCUUCUCGCUUUGGAGAUCCAGGUGGUUACUUGCCAAUAACCCCCAAUUUUUUCAGGUUGACCUCGGAUCAGGUAGGGAUACCCGCUGAACUUAAGCAUAUCAAUAAGCGGAGGA
rnacentral:misc_RNA from 1 species